UACGUAGGUGGCAAGCGUUGUCCGGAUUUAUUGGGCGUAAAGAGCGUGUAGGCGGCCAGGUAGGUCUGCUGUGAAAACUCGAGGCUCAACCUCGAGACGUCGGCGGAAACCAUCUGGCUAGAGUCCGGAAGAGGAGAGUGGAAUUCCUGGUGUAGCGGUGAAAUGCGUAGAUAUCUGGAGGAAUACCGGUGGCGAAGGCGGCAUCCUGGACCAUAACUGACGCUGAGGCGCGAAAGCUAGGGGAGCAAACGGG
rnacentral:rRNA from 1 species